AAAAUUUUGUCUGGAAUUUAGGGAAAAGUCAGGAAAAAACAUAAUUAAAGUUUUGUGGCAACCCUUCUUUAAUUUUUUAUUAAUAAAUUCAUUCGUUUUGUUUAGAUGUGCUUGGAGGUGUUUUGUACGCACUGGACAAUCAUCACUUUUUGAGGAGGAUCCGUAUGUUGAGUACCUCAUCCAAGUCUCGAUUUAUUUUGAUUGUGGCAUUUCGUGGAUUUAAUUCCUCCUCCGCGGUUACUAUUUCGUCGCGAAAAUCUAAAUUCCAGCAACGAGAAAUUUGAGUCAUGAGGACUCGGUCUUCUUACAACAAAUUGUUGUUUUCGGAAUUCUUAUAUUUCGAUUAAUUAUUAUAGAAGGGAUCUCUGGGGACAAGUGACUCGAAGAUUAUUGUCAUUUGGAAUACGUUGUCUUUGCAGGAGGGAAUCCAUCGAAAUUGGCCAAUUUAGAUAAAGUUUAGAGUCUGUGCGCGAUUUUAAAUCGUUUUUCUUGAAUCUUGUGUUUUUGGUUUAAAAAAGUAUAAAAAAUUAUAGUUUGAAAACUUGGUGCGCGAUUAAAAAAAUGUGUGUGAACAAAUUUAUAGUGCCAGUGUUGUGUUCUGCAUAUUUGGAGGUAAACUGUCUUCACUACUUCACUGACAGGGAUGAGAA